rnacentral:rRNA from 1 species
UACGUAGGUGGCAAGCGUUGUCCGGAUUUACUGGGCGUAAAGAGCGCGCAGGCGGUCGUUCAAGUCGCGUGUGAAAGCCCCCGGCUCAACUGGGGAGGGUCACGCGAUACUGAUCGACUCGAAGGCAGGAGAGGGAAGUGGGAAUUCCCGGUGUAGUGGUGAAAUGCGUAGAUAUCGGGAGAACACCAGUGGCGAAGGCGGACUUCCUGGGCCUGUUCUUGACGCUGAGGCGCGAAAGCUAGGGGAGCAAACGGG